ACGCUAGCUACAGGCUUAACACAUGCAAGUCGAGGGGCAUCAGGAAGAAAGCUUGCUUUCUUUGCUGGCGACCGGCGCACGGGUGAGUAACACGUAUCCAACCUGCCCUUUACUCGGGGAUAGCCUUUCGACAGAAAGAUUAAUACCCGAUAGCAUAAUGAUUCCGCAUGGUUUCAUUAUUAAAGGAUUCCGGUAAAGGAUGGGGAUGCGUUCCAUUAGGUUGUUGGUGAGGUCACGGCUCACCAAGCCUUCGAUGGAUAGGGGUUCUGAGAGGAAGGUCCCCCACAUUGGAACUGAGACACGGUCCAAACUCCUACGGGAGGCAGCAGUGAGGAAUAUUGGUCAAUGGGCGCUAGCCUGAACCAGCCAAGUAGCGUGAAGGAUGAAGGCUCUAUGGGUCGUAAACUUCUUUUAUAUAAGAAUAAAGUGCAGUAUGUAUACUGUUUUGUAUGUAUUAUAUGAAUAAGGAUCGGCUAACUCCGUGCCAGCAGCCGCGGUAAUACGGAGGAUCCGAGCGUUAUCCGGAUUUAUUGGGUUUAAAGGGAGCGUAGGUGGACUGGUAAGUCAGUUGUGAAAGUUUGCGGCUCAACCGUAAAAUUGCAGUUGAUACUGUCAGUCUUGAGUACAGUAGAGGUGGGCGGAAUUCGUGGUGUAGCGGUGAAAUGCUUAGAUAUCACGAAGAACUCCGAUUGCGAAGGCAGCUCACUGGACUGCAACUGACACUGAUGCUCGAAAGUGUGGGUAUCAAACAGGAUUAGAUACCCUGGUAGUCCACACAGUAAACGAUGAAUACUCGCUGUUUGCGAUAUACAGUAAGCGGCCAAGCGAAAGCAUUAAGUAUUCCACCUGGGGAGUACGCCGGCAACGGUGAAACUCAAAGGAAUUGACGGGGGCCCGCACAAGCGGAGGAACAUGUGGUUUAAUUCGAUGAUACGCGAGGAACCUUACCCGGGCUUAAAUUGCAGUGGAAUGAUGUGGAAACAUGUCAGUGAGCAAUCACCGCUGUGAAGGUGCUGCAUGGUUGUCGUCAGCUCGUGCCGUGAGGUGUCGGCUUAAGUGCCAUAACGAGCGCAACCCUUAUCUUCAGUUACUAACAGGUCAUGCUGAGGACUCUGGAGAGACUGCCGUCGUAAGAUGUGAGGAAGGUGGGGAUGACGUCAAAUCAGCACGGCCCUUACGUCCGGGGCUACACACGUGUUACAAUGGGGGGUACAGAAGGCAGCUAGCGGGUGACCGUAUGCUAAUCCCAAAAGCCUCUCUCAGUUCGGAUCGAAGUCUGCAACCCGACUUCGUGAAGCUGGAUUCGCUAGUAAUCGCGCAUCAGCCACGGCGCGGUGAAUACGUUCCCGGGCCUUGUACACACCGCCCGCCAAGCCAUGGGAGCCGGGGGUACCUGAAGUACGUAACCGCAAGGAUCGUCCUAGGGUAAAACUGGUGACUGGGGCUA
rnacentral:rRNA from 1 species